rnacentral:tRNA from 1 species
GGGCACGUAGCACAAUAGGAUAGUGCACUGGAUUGUCGAUCCAGGUUAUGCGAGUUCGAUUCUCGUCGUGCCCG